rnacentral:rRNA from 1 species
UACGUAGGGGGCUAGCGUUGUCCGGAAUCAUUGGGCGUAAAGCGCGUGUAGGCGGUCCGGUAAGUCCGCUGUGAAAGUCGGGGGCUCAACCCUCGAAAGCCGGUGGAUACUGUUGGGCUAGAGUACGGAAGAGGCGAGUGGAAUUCCUGGUGUAGCGGUGAAAUGCGCAGAUAUCAGGAGGAACACCAAUUGCGAAGGCAGCUCGCUGGGACGUUACUGACGCUGAGACGCGAAAGCUAGGGGAGCAAACGGG